rnacentral:lncRNA from 1 species
GUGAAGCAUAGACGUUACAUGUUUCCUCAUCUGUAAAAUGGUAAUUUCACUUUUCUACAUGGUUGUUAGGGCUAAGUGAAUUAUUUUUUAUAAAGUUCUUAGAAUUCUGCCUGCCGUGUAUUAAGUGCUUAAUGUUGAUAGUUCUGUCUGUCUGUCUAUCUAUCUAUGUAUCUACCCAUCUAUCUAUCUAUCCAUUUUUUUAGAAAUGGGUAUCUCACUAUGUUGGUCAGGCUAGAGUGCAUGGCUAUUCAGAAGCAUGGUCAUAGCACAGCCUUGAACCUCUGGGCUCAAGUGAUCCUUCCGCAUAGCUGGAAUUCCAUGUGUGCACCACUACACAUGAUCUGACAGCUAUAUUUUUGUUUCUCUCCCUCUCCUUCCUUCCUUCCUUCCUU